rnacentral:lncRNA from 1 species
GAGGAGCAAAAAUGGUGAACAUGGUUCAGAUCAAGGAGAAAAAGGAAAACAGGUGCAAUGCCAUGACUGGAAAAGGGAAAAGUAGCAACACUGUUGUUUGGGACUAGAAAGAAUUCACAUGCCAGCCCACUUCUCACAAAGGCCCACAAAACAGAAAAGACGGAAGACUGGGCUUUGAUUCAAAAAAUAGAGAAAGCCCAAAACCAAAUCAGAAGGCCCAUGUCUUUUACAAAUAUGGCAUAGUUGUAAAAACGUCAAGAUUAAAUGGCAAUCAAC